GGGUUGUGAGGUUAAGCGACUAAGCGUACACGGUGGAUGCCCUGGCAGUCAGAGGCGAUGAAGGACGUGCUAAUCUGCGAUAAGCGUCGGUAAGGUGAUAUGAACCGUUAUAACCGGCGAUUUCCGAAUGGGGAAACCCAGUGUGUUUCGACACACUAUCAUUAACUGAAUCCAUAGGUUAAUGAGGCGAACCGGGGGAACUGAAACAUCUAAGUACCCCGAGGAAAAGAAAUCAACCGAGAUUCCCCCAGUAGCGGCGAGCGAACGGGGAGGAGCCCAGAGUCUGAAUCAGUGUGUGUGUUAGUGGAAGCGUCUGGAAAGGCGCGCGAUACAGGGUGACAGCCCCGUACACAAAAAUGCACAUACUGUGAGCUCGAUGAGUAGGGCGGGACACGUGGUAUCCUGUCUGAAUAUGGGGGGACCAUCCUCCAAGGCUAAAUACUCCUGACUGACCGAUAGUGAACCAGUACCGUGAGGGAAAGGCGAAAAGAACCCCGGCGAGGGGAGUGAAAAAGAACCUGAAACCGUGUACGUACAAGCAGUGGGAGCCUCUUUUAUGGGGUGACUGCGUACCUUUUGUAUAAUGGGUCAGCGACUUAUAUUCUGUAGCAAGGUUAACCGAAUAGGGGAGCCGAAGGGAAACCGAGUCUUAACUGGGCGUUAAGUUGCAGGGUAUAGACCCGAAACCCGGUGAUCUAGCCAUGGGCAGGUUGAAGGUUGGGUAACACUAACUGGAGGACCGAACCGACUAAUGUUGAAAAAUUAGCGGAUGACUUGUGGCUGGGGGUGAAAGGCCAAUCAAACCGGGAGAUAGCUGGUUCUCCCCGAAAGCUAUUUAGGUAGCGCCUCGUGAAUUCAUCUCCGGGGGUAGAGCACUGUUUCGGCAAGGGGGUCAUCCCGACUUACCAACCCGAUGCAAACUGCGAAUACCGGAGAAUGUUAUCACGGGAGACACACGGCGGGUGCUAACGUCCGUCGUGAAGAGGGAAACAACCCAGACCGCCAGCUAAGGUCCCAAAGUCAUGGUUAAGUGGGAAACGAUGUGGGAAGGCCCAGACAGCCAGGAUGUUGGCUUAGAAGCAGCCAUCAUUUAAAGAAAGCGUAAUAGCUCACUGGUCGAGUCGGCCUGCGCGGAAGAUGUAACGGGGCUAAACCAUGCACCGAAGCUGCGGCAGCGACGCUUAUGCGUUGUUGGGUAGGGGAGCGUUCUGUAAGCCUGUGAAGGUGUGCUGUGAGGCAUGCUGGAGGUAUCAGAAGUGCGAAUGCUGACAUAAGUAACGAUAAAGCGGGUGAAAAGCCCGCUCGCCGGAAGACCAAGGGUUCCUGUCCAACGUUAAUCGGGGCAGGGUGAGUCGACCCCUAAGGCGAGGCCGAAAGGCGUAGUCGAUGGGAAACAGGUUAAUAUUCCUGUACUUGGUGUUACUGCGAAGGGGGGACGGAGAAGGCUAUGUUGGCCGGGCGACGGUUGUCCCGGUUUAAGCGUGUAGGCUGGUUUUCCAGGCAAAUCCGGAAAAUCAAGGCUGAGGCGUGAUGACGAGGCACUACGGUGCUGAAGCAACAAAUGCCCUGCUUCCAGGAAAAGCCUCUAAGCAUCAGGUAACAUCAAAUCGUACCCCAAACCGACACAGGUGGUCAGGUAGAGAAUACCAAGGCGCUUGAGAGAACUCGGGUGAAGGAACUAGGCAAAAUGGUGCCGUAACUUCGGGAGAAGGCACGCUGAUAUGUAGGUGAAGUCCCUUGCGGAUGGAGCUGAAAUCAGUCGAAGAUACCAGCUGGCUGCAACUGUUUAUUAAAAACACAGCACUGUGCAAACACGAAAGUGGACGUAUACGGUGUGACGCCUGCCCGGUGCCGGAAGGUUAAUUGAUGGGGUCAGCGCAAGCGAAGCUCUUGAUCGAAGCCCCGGUAAACGGCGGCCGUAACUAUAACGGUCCUAAGGUAGCGAAAUUCCUUGUCGGGUAAGUUCCGACCUGCACGAAUGGCGUAAUGAUGGCCAGGCUGUCUCCACCCGAGACUCAGUGAAAUUGAACUCGCUGUGAAGAUGCAGUGUACCCGCGGCAAGACGGAAAGACCCCGUGAACCUUUACUAUAGCUUGACACUGAACAUUGAGCCUUGAUGUGUAGGAUAGGUGGGAGGCUUUGAAGUGUGGACGCCAGUCUGCAUGGAGCCGACCUUGAAAUACCACCCUUUAAUGUUUGAUGUUCUAACGUUGGCCCCUAAUCGGGGUUGCGGACAGUGUCUGGUGGGUAGUUUGACUGGGGCGGUCUCCUCCUAAAGAGUAACGGAGGAGCACGAAGGUUGGCUAAUCCUGGUCGGACAUCAGGAGGUUAGUGCAAUGGCAUAAGCCAGCUUGACUGCGAGCGUGACGGCGCGAGCAGGUGCGAAAGCAGGUCAUAGUGAUCCGGUGGUUCUGAAUGGAAGGGCCAUCGCUCAACGGAUAAAAGGUACUCCGGGGAUAACAGGCUGAUACCGCCCAAGAGUUCAUAUCGACGGCGGUGUUUGGCACCUCGAUGUCGGCUCAUCACAUCCUGGGGCUGAAGUAGGUCCCAAGGGUAUGGCUGUUCGCCAUUUAAAGUGGUACGCGAGCUGGGUUUAGAACGUCGUGAGACAGUUCGGUCCCUAUCUGCCGUGGGCGCUGGAGAACUGAGGGGGGCUGCUCCUAGUACGAGAGGACCGGAGUGGACGCAUCACUGGUGUUCGGGUUGUCAUGCCAAUGGCACUGCCCGGUAGCUAAAUGCGGAAGAGAUAAGUGCUGAAAGCAUCUAAGCACGAAACUUGCCCCGAGAUGAGUUCUCCCUGACUCCUUGAGAGUCCUGAAGGAACGUUGAAGACGACGACGUUGAUAGGCCGGGUGUGUAAGCGCAGCGAUGCGUUGAGCUAACCGGUACUAAUGAACCGUGAGGCUUAACCUUACAACGCCGAAGCUGUU
rnacentral:rRNA from 1 species